UAGGGAAUCUUCGGCAAUGGGGGCAACCCUGACCGAGCAACGCCGCGUGAGUGAAGAAGGUCUUCGGAUCGUAAAACUCUGUUGUUAGAGAAGAACAUGCAGGAGAGUAACUGUUCUUGUAUUGACGGUAUCUAACCAGAAAGCCACGGCUAACUACGUGCCCG
rnacentral:rRNA from 1 species